rnacentral:rRNA from 1 species
UACGUAGGGUGCGAGCGUUAAUCGGAAUUACUGGGCGUAAAGGGUGCGUAGGCGGUUGUUUAAGUCUGUCGUGAAAUCCCCGGGCUCAACCUGGGAAUGGCGAUGGAUACUGGACAGCUAGAGUGUGUCAGAGGAUGGUGGAAUUCCCGGUGUAGCGGUGAAAUGCGUAGAGAUCGGGAGGAACAUCAGUGGCGAAGGCGGCCAUCUGGGACACACUGACGCUGAAGCACGAAAGCGUGGGGAGCAAACAGG